CAGUAGCCGCGGGAAUACGAAGGGUGCAAGCGUUACUCGGAAUUACUGGGCGUAAAGCGUGCGUAGGUGGUGGUUUAAGUCCGUUGUGAAAGCCCUGGGCUCAGCCUGGGAAUUGCAGUGGAUACUGGGUCACUAGAGUGUGGUAGAGGAUAGUGGAAUUUCCGGUGUAGCAGUGAAAUGCGUAGAGAUCGGAAGGAACAUCUGUGGCGAAGGCGACUAUCUGGGCCAACACUGACACUGAGGCACGAAAGCGUGGGGAGCAAACAGGAUUAGAUACCCGUGUAGUCCCUGUCUCUUAUAC
rnacentral:rRNA from 1 species